rnacentral:rRNA from 1 species
GAUGAACGCUGGCGGCGUGCCUAACACAUGCAAGUCGAACGAAUCUUGACGGGUGAUUUCUUCGGCAUGAAACCAGAUAUGACUUAGUGGCGGACGGGUGAGUAACACGUGAGCAACCUGCCUUUCAGAGGGGGAUAACGGCUGGAAACGCUCGCUAAUACCGAAUGAUGUGUUCGGAUGGCAUCAUCUUAACAUCCAAGAUUUAUCGCUGAAAGAUGGGCUCGCGUCUGAUUAGAUAGUUGGUGGGGUAACGGCCUACCAAGUAUACGAUCAGUAGCCGGACUGAGAGGUUGAACGGCCACAUUGGGAAUGAGAUACGGCCCAGACUACUACGGGAGGCAGGAGUGGGGAAUAUUGCACAAUGGGGGAAACCCUGAUGCAGGAACGCCGCGUGAAGGAUGACGGUUUUCGGAUUGUAAACGUCUUUUCUUAGGGACGAAGACAGUGACGGUAGCUAAGGAAUAAGCAGCGGCUAACUACGUG